rnacentral:rRNA from 1 species
GUCUACGGCCAUGCUACCCUGAACAAGCCCGAUCCCAUCUGAUCUCGGAAGGAAGCUAAGCAUGGUCGGUUAGUACUUGGAUGGGAGACCACCUAGGAAGACCAGGUUCUGUAGGCA